AAAAAUCUAUGUGAAAAAUUUGUACAUUAAAUAAAUUUUUUAUGUUUUAGAAAUUUUAUUAUAAAUUUAUUUUACAUAUAAAUUUUAGUAUAAAAUUUUAAUUAUUUAAAUAAUAAUUAAUUAAUUAUGGUAGUAAUUAGUAUUAAAAAUUUAAGAAAUUAAGAUUUAGUAAUAUGAAAAUUAAUAACUAAUUUUGUGCCAGCAGUUGCGGUUAUACAAAGAUUAAAUUAAAUUAUUUCAGUUUAUAAUAAGUAAUUUUAAAUUAAAGUAAAUAUUAAAUUAUUAAGUGAAAUUUUAAUUUAAUUAAAUUUUAUAUUUAAAUUAUGAUUUAAUAAAUUUUAAUAUAAACUAGGAUUAGAUACCCUAUUAUUAAAAAAAUUAAAUUAUAAUACUAAAAUAGUAAAUAAUUAUUUAUUGAAACUUGAAUAAUAUGGCGGUAUUUUAGUUCAUUUAGAGGAAUCUGUUAAGUAAUUGAUAAUCCACGAAUAAAUUUACUUAAUUUUAAAUUUUGUAUAUCAUUGUUAAAAAAAUAUUUUUAAAUAAAAAUAAUAUUUAAAAUUUUAAAAAUAAAAUUAGUUCAGAUCAAGAUGCAGAUUAUAAUUAAGAUUAUAAUGGAUUACAAUAAAAUUAUUUAAAUGAAUAAUAGUAUUGAAAUUUAUAUUUGAAAGUGGAUUUAAAUGUAAUUUUAAUUAGUUUAUUAAAAUGAUUAAAAAUUAGAAUAUGUACAUAUUGCCCGUCACUUUCAUUUUAAAAUUGAAAUAAGUCGUAACAAAGUAGAUGUACUGGAAAGUGUAUCUAGAAAGAA
rnacentral:ncRNA from 1 species